UAGUGAAAAAGGUACAGGUCAAAUGAUUUUAAUUGUUUUCUUUAUUACAGGUAAAAUGGCUUUUAUUACAGCAAAUCGAGUCAGUUGCAUAAAAAAAAAGGUAUAAACACAAUUAUAUGAUAUUUAUGCAUAGAAAAUGUUAAUUCUUGAUCUUAUACUUCACCUAACUAAUUUUAUGAUAUUUUAGGUUCAUGCUAUUGAUAUUGAACAAAAAGAGGUUGUUGCUAAGAAGACUGCGGCUAGCAAAAAAAACAUACAUCUCAGAGAUGCUUUUGCUACUUAGUUUUAUUUCUUUUUAAGUUAUGAAUUGGUUGUAUAU
rnacentral:lncRNA from 1 species